rnacentral:misc_RNA from 1 species
CCCGAAAUAUAUCUUUGAAGUUGAAAUGGCACUACCUUAUCUUCAUAACCUUGCCAGAUGUGAACAGAGCUUUCAUUUUGAGGAAAUGGAUUUCUUAGCUGAAUUGGAUCAAAGUCCCAAUCUCCAAAACCCGUUAUAAAAUCACGACGGAGAGUAUCAAAGACAUCUUGUUGCCGUAAUCUAUCCUGUUUGUGGAAACAAAAAC